rnacentral:lncRNA from 1 species
AAAAAAUAAACCCUCCUACCAUACGACUCCUAAAUCAUUUUCGUGCCUUUGCAAAAAUGAGCCGCACCUUUUCACUCCCUUCUCUCUUCUGUCUCUCUAAGGUUAACCACAAGCGAACACCACGCUCUGGUGAGCCGUGUCGCCGGCAAGUCCGCUGCCCCUCAUUUCUUCCUCUUCUCGUUCCCUCCAUCGCGCCACCAGCCGCCGCUGCACAAUAGUCAUGCAGCCGGCGAGCAAACCAGUGCCAUCGCCGCCGCCGCCUCUCAUCAUCUCCUCUAUCUGCUACCAGCACCGGCAACCAGCCCAACGAUCAGCCGGCGAGAAAUGCAUUCAGUUAAGCCCAACGAUCCUUUUUGGGUGCUAUUGAGAAGGUUAGAGUAGUUCUUGCUAAUUUUGCUUUAAAAUUAAUUAAUUCUUGAGGAGUUAUCCCUACAGAUCUUAAGACUAUUCAUCUUAGACUCUUUCCUACAACGUUUCAGUAUAAUUGUUUUUUUUCCUUUCCUCGAAUUAGAGAUUAAUGUUAAAUUCUAAGAUCUGCUUUAGGUUUCACCUCUUCAAUUACACCGAGGCUUUAUUACCUAUUGUCCGUUUCCAAUUUGUGGAAAAGCUUAGAAAAUAACCUGCUUUUCCCAGAAUCACUUAGAUAGUUUAAUACCAUCAUCUGAGUUAGAUGGCUGGCCUUAUAAAAUGAAUACUUAUAUUUAUUUCAUGGAAGUAUCAAUGCUAAAAAUAAGUUACAUGAGCUGGCCUUGUAAAAUGAGUUUGAAAUGCUUCACCUUUGACGAUUAGGGUAAGAGAAGUAUAUCUACGCACAUGACUAUUCUCUAAAAAGGAACUAAAAGUUUGUUUUGGCUUUUAUGGAUGAUGAGCAGUACCAUUAAAAGAUUGACACUCAAGCGCAAAGCUUCCCGAGUAGAACUUAAAUAAGCUUUACAGUUUAAAUUGGUUGUCCAGAGAUAAUAUUAAAUGUGCAACUGUAUUUUAAUUUAGCAAUUCAGUCAAAAUAUCUUUCUAUUUGUUAUGGCUUUUUUUAUUGAUACGAGUCAAAGGGCCAUCAUAGUUUUUGAUGACAUCAUUCGAGGCCCAUACUUGAAGAUUCAAGCUUUGGUCAUACUUAGGGUACAAGGACAUGCAUGGAGGACUCAAUUUUAAAUUACAAUAGAGCAAAACCAUGUUUGGAAGAUUGCUUGGGACUUGUGUUGAUGCCUACCAAAGGGUUCCAAGAGGUUUCACAUUUUGAAGCUUUAAGAAGAAAGGACCCAUGAAGCAUUAGUGGGGUGGCCUUGGAGUGUAAACACUCAUUAAGGGUGUUUUAGUCUUUUUAUGCCAUUUCUUUACACUCCAUAGGAGCCCUUUUUCAUUUACGGUAUUUUGAUAUUUUAUGUAAUAAGCUAUAAAUAGACUCUUUAGGCUUAUUUUCUCAUUAGUUGAUUAUUGAUAUUUGAAAGACUUCUUCUUCUCUCUUUGAGAGUGUAGUGUAGGGCUUUGAAAAGCCAAGUAGAGUAGGGCUUGGAAAAGCCAUUAUUGAUCUUUGCUUAGAAACGGUGGUUGUAAGGCGGAGUUGAUUCCCUUAGUGGUCACCGUAAGAAUUUGGUGUUGUAAUUGCGGAUCUUAAGGUUCUUAUCAUUUGAUACACGAUUUGGUUCAUUUUCUCGUAAUCUCGUAUGUCAAGCUAUCUAUCUUACUUUAUUGCAUUUGUUUGUUCUCUUUUUUCUCUUAGUCUUCAUCUCUUUAGGUCAUUCUUUUAUCAUUUGGUAUCAAAGCAAGGUUUGAUUUUGUUCCAACAAAAUCAAUCUUGGGAUUGUUAUCUUGAAGAAAAAAAGUGAAAAAGAAAAAAAAAGAAAAAAUUUAUUGUUCACGUUUUUAGAGUUUUUUAUUUUUUGAUACUUGAUUUUUGUUUGUUUUGUGUGUUUCUAGUGUUAGAUCCUUGUUCCCUAACACUAUUAGAGUCUAGAAAUUGAAAAUCCCAACAAAAAGAAGUGUCAAAAUAAAAAAUCCCCCCCAAAAAAUACUAAACCCGUUUUUGAACGUAGGUCAAAUUUUGAGUUUUUUAUUAUUUUUUUUUUUGUGUUUUUAGUGUUAGAUUUGAGUUCUCUAACACUAUAGGAGUCUAGGGUUUGAAUUUGUGCUAAAUUGAAGGUGAUUUGAGCCAUCCGCCAUUGUUGAUCUUGAGUUUGAAGAAACUUGAAGGUGAGAUCUCAUUGUGGAAGGUUGUUGUUGACGUUUUUGGAGAUGAAAACAUGAUAUUUGUGGUUGGAUUGUCAACGUGAGCUUGGAUCUUCAAGAAAAAUCAAAUUCCGAGUUCAUUUGCUUAAGGGUCAACUUUGAGUCAAACUUUGAAUGUUCUUGGUGUUCUUCAUGUUCUUCAUGUAUUGUUGAACAAGAACAUUCAAAAAGUGUUGUUUGAUCUAAAAAGGUGGAGAAAGAGAGUGUACUACUUGUUUGUCUCAAAGAAUAUUCCAAGCAUAUUCCAAGUCUUUCAAAGGAAGAAAAGAAUUCAAAAGGCAUCAAAAGGAAUGUUCUCAAAGAAGAGGACAAGGGAAAGUACAAGGGGGGACCAUCACAAAUUCAAACUCUUUUGAGCUAGAAAAAAAGGUCCAUUCUUUGUGUUUUCUUCAUCAAAACUGAUCCUACCUUCCUCCUAAGUUGAAGAUUGAUUGAAUACAAGUUGAAUACAAGAAAAUUUUUUCAAAACAUCAACCAACCAAAGGCUGUCACAUCAUCACCAAGGGCUGCCAAAAAGCUUAAGCUCAAAUUUCAGAUUCUAAGUUUCAUUUCCUUGUUUCUUUAGUUUCAUUUCUUGAUUCUAGAACUAAUUAACAACUAGUAAUCACCUACUUAGUUGCAAAUUAGUUGCUUGAGUCCGUUUUCUUCCUGUUUUUAUUCUUUGUGUGCUUUUCUCGUUUUGACUCGUUGAACUUCUUUGUUUCAAGUUCAUAAGUAGAUUUUGUAUUGUGUCUUGAGUUGAUCAAACAAGAAUCUAUUUCGGCCACUAAGUAGUGAUUGACACCUUAUUGACUACCGAAGUAUAAGCAACUUUUAAUAUUCGCUGCUUCACUUGUGAGGAUCACAAAGGUGAGAGUAUAUACGAGUGUUGGUGAGGACCUUUUACUACUAAUCUUGUUUGUUCAUUUUGUAGGUACAAGGUGAUAUAAGGGGAACAUAUCUUGGUAGCCUUGGACUAUUGUGACUACAACAUGGGAGACUAUGAUUGUAGUGAGGAAUUUUAUGACUACGAUGAUGUUAGAGAUUAUGGGGACUAUGAAUAUAGCCAUGAUCAAGACAUAAGCAGAAUUGAGAGUUAUGGUUUUGAGGGAAAAAAUGAGGUAAAUGAAGUUCCUAGUGCUUAUGGUGGAUAUGGAGAUGAUGUAGGGCUUUAUGAUGGUUCUUAUGAUGAAGUUAGGGCAUGUGAGAAGUCUUACACUUCCCACUCUGAACCUAGAAUUUGUGUAAGGUCUUUUCUUCGCAAAGCGUAUGAGAGCCUUGGUGAGAGUGCACAUGUGGAGCAUGAAGAUUUAUAUUCUUCACGUUGUAGCACAUCUUAUCAAGGUCGAAGUGGCAUGAAUGGGUAUACUAGCUAUAGUGUAGGUUAUCCCAUAAGAAGAAGAGAGAAUACAUCUCCAAGGCCGAGGGGUACUCAUAUGCCCAUAGGUUUUCCUAAACUCUACAAUGUUGAUCCUAGAAGAAGUGUUCACUCCAGAAAGGUAAGCAUUUAUGGGGUACCGGGCUGCCUCCUCAUGCUAGAUAAUUGGCGCCAUCAGAACUACAUUAUCCCAAUGAUUGACUAUUUGAGGUUGUUUUGAGAACCUUUACUUGUUCCAUAUUACUUGUACUUGUAUAAGGUUAUCGAGAGAGUGAGAAUUGUCUUCACCCAAUUUGAAUACUAUGAGGAGGUAUGGUGCGAUAUCUUUCCCUUGACACCAGGUCAUGUAUGCUUGGGUGCCGAUUGGUUUUCACAACAUAGAUUUCCAAAUGUGCUAAAUUGGCCUAAGGUUGUAGUGGACAGUUGGGGAAAUUAUCUCUUUACCUCAAUUCUUCCCAAACUGCAAGGAUAUGUGAUCACUUAAUCCGUCCCGAAUAUGAGAUACAAAAGAUUGAGAGGAGUAAGGGUGUGCAAGGUGGAAAUCCAAGAGUGGAAAAAGGAGAAGUUGUGUGGAAUGAAGUGAGGGGGUUUUCACCAAACCGUGCUAACUAUGUUUGUCCUUCUAUUUCUAAGGACAUUUGUGUAGGUACUAAUAUGACAAGUGGAGAAGCACAAGUCCAAGGAGAAGUUGCUGCCGAACAUGUGGGAAACCUUUACACCACGGCAAAGAAGAAUUUACUCAAGAACUUUAAGGUAAAAUAGCUAACUCUUACACUUUUGUGCAUGUGAAUAAUAAUUAUGUGGCUAGUAGCCCAUUAAGUGUGAGUAGUAGCUUACCUAUUUGUGAUUCUAUUGAUUCUUUGCCUCUUGUUGGAGAUGUACUUGUUGUGAGUGUGGAUACACUAGUUAAUCUUAUUGAUGUCCGAAUUGACUCUUUUUAUAAAAUCAAUUUAAGUCCACCUAGUGUUGAAGCCAUUGUGUUGAAUCAUAAUACAUCAUCUAUUGAUUCUUUGCCCCUUGAUGAUGAUGUACAUAUUGUGAAUAUGGAUACACUAGUUGAUCCUAUUGAUGAACGAAUUGACUCUUCUUAUAAGAUCAAUUUAUGUCCACCUAGUGUUGAAGCAAAUGUGUUGAAUGAUAGUACAUCAUCUUGUGGGAAUUGUGUUGAUCAACUUAUGUGCGAAAUUUGUCCACCACUUGAGGAUGUGUGUGAUGUAUUUAAUAGAUCUCAAGUGAGUGAUGAUGUUGAAAAUGUUGAUCAAAUAAAUAGUAGUGAUCCCUUUAGCAUGACCUCUAGUGAAUGUUCUACUAGCGGUUUUGCUCAUAAGGAUCGUGUGUUUGAAACUUCUUUGGAACUUGAUAAUUGUCCUUUAGAGAGUGAGCUUGCAUGUUCUAAAUCUUGCUUGAGGGUAGAUCCUCCUCUUUUUAGGUAUAAAAUCUUGUUCAAAGAUGGUCCAAUCACUCCUAAUGAACCUAGUGGUGAGAAUGAUAUUGAAGGUAUAGCUUGUCUUGAAGGCUAUAGCCUAUAUACUAACCCACUAUGGUGUGACAACAUACCUCCUAAAGAUGGAAAUCUCUUCUUGAAAGAUGAGAGUACUGUUAAGGGUAAGGAAUGUGUAGUCUUAGAAAGGAAUGAUCAAUUGGGUAAUGAUAUCUUUGAUUUGCUUGAAUAUUUGAGAAACCCAACAAGUGAUUAUUCCUUGAAAAUUGAUUGUGGUUGUGAUCCUUUGUAUGAUUCCCCACCCAUGUUUGAUGACUAUGAGGAUGAAUUGCUUGCUUCUUGUGAAGACUUAAGUAAUAAUCCAUUUGAUUCUGCUUGUGGUGUGUAUCUACUUGAGGGUUCUUCCAUGAAAAGAAAAAGUGUCCAUUGCUUGGAAAUUACUUCUUCUUCUACUUUGUGUGACCUUAUUGUUGAGAGUACUCAUGGUGAUGAUUUUGAAACUAGUAGUGAGUACAUACAUGAGGACACCUUAGUUGAAGUUGACUUGAGUGAUACCUUUCUCUACUCUCUAUUUCUUUUGAUGAUAUAUAUGCUAUUGUAGAGAGUGUGUAUUUUAGAUUGGGUAAAGCCUGUGGGGAAAAAGAGUGUUGUCUAGAUCCAUGUCUAUGGCCACUUUUUCCAUUUAACCUGGGUGCCAAAUGUAGAUAUUAUGAUGUUGGCACACCCAAAUUGUUGCUUGGUCUACAUGACAAGCAAAGUGACAUUUUUGAAAACUCGAGGGCAAAGGUGUCAUUGUCUUCUUGGGGUAAUGUUACUAAAUGUGCAUCCUUGCUUGACACACUUGUGCUUAAGUNNNNNNNNNNNNNNNNNNNNNNNACACCCAAAUUGUUGCUUGGUCUAUAUGAUAAGCAAAGUGACAUUCUUGAAAACUCAAGGGUAAAUGUGUCAUUGUCUUCUUGGGGUAAUGUUACUAAAUGUGCAUCCUUGCUUGGCACACUUGUGCUUAAGUUGCAUGAUUCCUAACUUGUGGAUGCCAAGUUGAUACUUUACUUGAAAGGAAGAGGUCAUAUGUGCUUUAGUGCCUUAAAUCCAUCCUUGUGUGCUUUAUGUGUUAUAUCUUAUGGGCCAAAUUGCAUUCUUAUAGAUGACAAUGCCUUGGAUGAUGCCUUUACACUUGAUUCCUUCUUAUACUACCUCUUUGCCUAUGAUGACAUCCACACUAGUUUUGGAUUUGUUUUAUGUAGAGGUAGGGAACUUGUUGGUUGGUUCACUUAUUUGAAUGACAAUGCUAUGUGGGUUUGGUGGACAAUAAGACCAAUAGUGGCACCACUUUUGAUGAGGACACUUGAAGAGGUAAUGAAACAAUUGUGUCUAGUGGUUUCUAAUAUAAAGGUAGUUUUACCUUUUGGCUUUAGUGAUACCAUUAAGACCUUUGUAGUUUCUUUAUCUCUUGAUACUUGUCAUAGCCAUAUCCUUUGUGACAUUUUCACUAAUCUUUUCAUGACUAAAAUAAAGGAUUCAUGGUUAUAUUUUAAGUGUGUACCCCCUUGGCAUGAUGAUGUUAUUUGUUGUACUAACCCUAACCCUCAUGCCAUGAGGAUGUUAUGCUUGUUUGUCCUUUCUUUGGUUUUGCAAGGUGUGGAUUCGAGGUCGAAUCCUUUUCAAGAAGGGGAGGAUGAUACAAGCCAAAGGUCCAUCAUAGCUUUUGAUGACAUCAUUCGAGGCCCAUACAUGAAGAUUCAAGCUUUGUUCAUACUUAGGGUACAAGGACAUGCAUGGAAGACUCAUUUUAAAAUUACAAUAGAGCAAAAUCAUGUUUGGAAGAUUGCUUGGGACUUGUGUUGAUGCCUACCAAAGGGUUCCAAGAGGUUUCACAUUUUGAAGCUUGAAGAAUAAGGGACCCAUGAAGCAUUAGUGGGGUGGCCUUGGAGUGUAAACACUCAUUAAGGGUGUUUUAGUCUUUUUUGUGCCAUUUCUUUACACUCCAUAGGAGCCCUUUUUCAUUAAGGGUAUUUUGGUAUUUUAUGUAAUAAGCUAUAAAUAGACUCUUUAGGCUUAUUUUCUCAUUAGUUGAUUAUUAAUAUUUGAAAGACUUCUUCUUCUCUCUUUGAGAGUGUAGUGUAGGGCUUUGAAAAGCCAAGUAGAGUAGGGCUUGGAAAAGCCAUUAUUGAUCUUUGCUUAGAAACGGUGGUUGUAAGGCGGAGUUGAUUCCCUUAGCGGUCACUGUAAGAUUUUGGUGUUGUAAUUGCGAGACUUAAGGGUCUUAUCGUUUGAUACAUGGUUUGGUUCCUAUUUCUCGUAAUCUCGUAUGUCAAGCUACCUAUCUUACUUUAUUGCAUUUGUUUGUUCUCCUGUUUCUCUUAGUCUUCAUCUCUUUAGGUCAUUCUUCUAUCAUUUAUGAUCCAUAAUAAUUAAACACUGACUUGAACAGGACUAAAGAAAACACUGAAAUCACCAUUCUAUAUAUUAUUUCGUACAACUUUUGAUUCUUUUGUUUCUCUUAACCAAAAUUUCCUGCAUAGCUGUAGCAUUUUAAAAGUAAAAAAAGAAAUCUUCACUUAUUCAUUGUUU